UGGGGAAUUUUGGACAAUGGGCGAAAGCCUGAUCCAGCAAUGCCGCGUGUGUGAAGAAGGCCUUCGGGUUGUAAAGCACUUUUGUCCGGAAAGAAAUCCUUGGCUCUAAUACAGUCGGGGGAUGACGGUACCGGAAGAAUAAGCACCGGCUAACUACGUGCCAGCAGCCGCGGUAAUACGUAGGGUGCAAGCGUUAAUCGGAAUUACUGGGCGUAAAGCGUGCGCAGGCGGUUUGCUAAGACCGAUGUGAAAUCCCCGGGCUCAACCUGGGAACUGCAUUGGUGACUGGCAGGCUAGAGUAUGGCAGAGGGGGGUAGAAUUCCACGUGUAGCAGUGAAAUGCGUAGAGAUGUGGAGGAAUACCGAUGGCGAAGGCAGCCCCCUGGGGCCAAUACUGACGCUCAUGCACGAAAGCGUGGGGAGCAAACAGGAUUAGAUACCCUGGGUAGUCCACGCCCUAAACGAUGUCAACUAGUUGUUGGGGAUUCAUUUCCUUAGUAACGUAGCUAACGCGUGAAGUUGACCGCCUGGGGAGUACGGUCGCAAGAUUAAAACUCAAAUGAAUUGACGGGGUCAUAGCUGUUUCCU
rnacentral:rRNA from 1 species